rnacentral:rRNA from 1 species
CGAAUGCUGACAUAAGUAACGAUAAAGCGGGUGAAAAGCCCGCUCGCCGGAAGACCAAGGGUUCCUGUCCAACGUUAAUCGGGGCAGGGUGAGUCGACCCCUAAGGCGAGGCCGAAAGGCGUAGUCGAUGGGAAACAGGUUAAUAUUCCUGUACUUGGUGUUACUGCGAAGGGGGGACGGAGAAGGCUAUGUUGGCCGGGCGACGGUUGUCCCGGUUUAAGCGUGUAGGCUGGUUUUCCAGGCAAAUCCGGAAAAUCAAGGCUGAGGCGUGAUGACGAGGCACUACGGUGCUGAAGCAACAAAUGCCCUGCUUCCAGGAAAAGCCUCUAAGCAUCAGGUAACAUCAAAUCGUACCCCAAACCGACACAGGUGGUCAGGUAGAGAAUACCAAGGCGCUUGAGAGAACUCGGGUGAAGGAACUAGGCAAAAUGGUGCCGUAACUUCGGGAGAAGGCACGCUGAUAUGUAGGUGAAGUCCCUCGCGGAUGGAGCUGAAAUCAGUCGAAGAUACCAGCUGGCUGCAACUGUUUAUUAAAAACACAGCACUGUGCAAACACGAAAGUGGACGUAUACGGUGUGACGCCUGCCCGGUGCCGGAAGGUUAAUUGAUGGGGUUAGCGCAAGCGAAGCUCUUGAUCGAAGCCCCGGUAAACGGCGGCCGUAACUAUAACGGUCCUAAGGUAGCGAAAUUCCUUGUCGGGUAAGUUCCGACCUGCACGAAUGGCGUAAUGAUGGCCAGGCUGUCUCCACCCGAGACUCAGUGAAAUUGAACUCGCUGUGAAGAUGCAGUGUACCCGCGGCAAGACGGAAAGACCCCGUGAACCUUUACUAUAGCUUGACACUGAACAUUGAGCCUUGAUGUGUAGGAUAGGUGGGAGGCUUUGAAGUGUGGACGCCAGUCUGCAUGGAGCCGACCUUGAAAUACCACCCUUUAAUGUUUGAUGUUCUAACGUUGACCCGUAAUCCGGGUUGCGGACAGUGUCUGGUGGGUAGUUUGACUGGGGCGGUCUCCUCCUAAAGAGUAACGGAGGAGCACGAAGGUUGGCUAAUCCUGGUCGGACAUCAGGAGGUUAGUGCAAUGGCAUAAGCCAGCUUGACUGCGAGCGUGACGGCGCGAGCAGGUGCGAAAGCAGGUCAUAGUGAUCCGGUGGUUCUGAAUGGAAGGGCCAUCGCUCAACGGAUAAAAGGUACUCCGGGGAUAACAGGCUGAUACCGCCCAAGAGUUCAUAUCGACGGCGGUGUUUGGCACCUCGAUGUCGGCUCAUCACAUCCUGGGGCUGAAGUAGGUCCCAAGGGUAUGGCUGUUCGCCAUUUAAAGUGGUACGCGAGCUGGGUUUAGAACGUCGUGAGACAGUUCGGUCCCUAUCUGCCGUGGGCGCUGGAGAACUGAGGGGGGCUGCUCCUAGUACGAGAGGACCGGAGUGGACGCAUCACUGGUGUUCGGGUUGUCAUGCCAAUGGCACUGCCCGGUAGCUAAAUGCGGAAGAGAUAAGUGCUGAAAGCAUCUAAGCACGAAACUUGCCCCGAGAUGAGUUCUCCCUGACUCCUUGAGAGUCCUGAAGGAACGUUGAAGACGACGACGUUGAUAGGCCGGGUGUGUAAGCGCAGCGAUGCGUUGAGCUAACCGGUACUAAUGAACCGUGAGGCUUAACCUUACAACGCCGAAGGUGUUU